GGUUCCGUAGUGUAGUGGAUCACGUUCGCUUCACACGCGAAAGGCCCCCCGGGUUGAUCCCCACGGAACCA